GUGUUUGUUUCAGCAGCACAUAAACUAAAACUGGAAGAAUAGAAAGAAGAUUAAUAUGGCCCCUGAGCAAGUAUGACAUGCAAAUCCAUGAAUUGUUCCAUAUUUUU